rnacentral:rRNA from 1 species
CAUGGUCUAGCAAGUCUAUUCAAGCAAAAUGAAUUUUAGUUAGAAGCCCCGAAACUAGGUGAGCUACUUCGAGAUAGUCUAAAGAACAAACCCGUCUCUGUUGCAAUAGAGUGGGAGAAUCCCCAAGUAGAGGCGACAAACCUACCGCACCUAGAGAUAGCUGGUUGCCCAAGAAAAGAAUAUUAGUUCUACCCUAAGUUUAUGAGUUACAUAAAAACCCCUUAAAACUUAAGAGCCAAUCAAAUAAGGUACAGCUUAUUUGAAAUAGGAAACAGCCUAAACCACAGGGUAAUGUGUAUAAAACAAGCACCUGGUUGGCCUAAAAGCAGCCACCCCCUAAAAAGCGUUAAAGCUUACCACUUCCCCCCCCCCUCCAAUACCAAAAUACACCCUUAACCCGUCCCCCAUAUUGGACAACCCCAUAAACCUAUGGAAGAUAUAAUGCUAGAACUAGUAACAAGAAAAAGCCUUUCUCCAAAAUGUUAGCCUAAGCCACAAUAGACAAACUACUGGCAAUCAACGCGUAUGAAACCACUAUAACAACCCCAACAAGAAAACCCUAUACCCACACAGCGUUAACCUUACACUAGAGCAUUCCUGGAAAGAUUAAAAGAAAAAGAAGGACNUCGGAAAACCCNAGCCCU